GAUGAACGCUGGCGGCGUGCAUAAUACAUGCAAGUCGAGCGAACAGAUAAGGAGCUUGCUCCUUUGACGUUAGCGGCGGACGGGUGAGUAACACGUGGGUAACCUACCUAUAAGACUGGAAUAACUCCGGGAAACCGGGGCUAAUGCCGGAUAACAUUUAGAACCGCAUGGUUCUAAAGUGAAUGAUGGUUUUGCUAUCACUUAUAGAUGGAUCCGCGCCGUAUUAGCUAGUUGGUAAGGUAACGGCUUACCAAGGCGACGAUACGUAGCCGACCUGAGAGGGUGAUCGGCCACACUGGAACUGAGACACGGUCCAGACUCCUACGGGAGGCAGCAGUAGGGAAUCUUCCGCAAUGGGCGAAAGCCUGACGGAGCAACGCCGCGUGAGUGAUGAAGGUCUUCGGAUCGUAAAACUCUGUUAUUAGGGAAGAACAAAUGUGUAAGUAACUGUGCACGUCUUGACGGUACCUAAUCAGAAAGCCACGGCUAACUACGUG
rnacentral:rRNA from 1 species